GCCAAUUGUCAUAUCACCCUAAAACAUACUUGGUCUCUUCUGAUCUCAGAAGCUAAGCAGGGCUUGGUUUGGUUAGUACUUAGUUGGGAGGAUUUUUGUUUCAUAACUGAUUAAUCUAGCUGUUGUCU
rnacentral:rRNA from 1 species